GACGAACGCUGGCGGCGUGCUUAACACAUGCAAGUCGAGCGGUAAGGCUCCUUCGGGAGUACACGAGCGGCGAACGGGUGAGUAACACGUGAGCAAUCUGCCCUUCACACGGGGAUAACCCUCGGAAACGAGAGCUAAUACCCGAUACGACCACUUCAGGCAUCUGAUGGUGGUGGAAGGUUCCGGCGGUGAAGGUUGAGCUCGCGGCCUAUCAGUUUGUUGGUGGGGACACGGCCGACCAAGGCAACGACGGGUAGCCGGCCUGAGAGGGUGACCGGCCAUACUGGGACUGAGACACGGCCCAGACUCCUACGGGAGGCAGCAGUGGGGAAUAUUGGACAAUGGGCGAAAGCCUGAUCCAGCAACGCCGCGUGAGGGAUGACGGCCUUCGGGUUGUAAACCUCUUUCAGCAGGGACGAAGCGCAAGUGACGGUACCUGCAGAAGAAGCACCGGCCAACUACGUGCCAGCCGCCGCCGUAA
rnacentral:rRNA from 1 species